GGAGAUCAUACCCAGAAACAGUAUCCACACUUGACGAGACUCUUGAAUUGAACCUUCCAGGAAAUGGGAGAUUCAUCUCAGAUGGGUUAGUGGGUAACCCAUAAAACAAAGGAUUGAUGUGAUUUGAAGUUGAAGAAAUAUCGAUUUGGGUUUGAGAAGGAGUGUUAGGGUUAUCACUAGAGACUGAAGUAGCUCCUUCAACGGCAGAUGCAGCCCUCUUCUUACGCUUGUUCUUUCUGCAUCCACCACCCACAGGAACAUUCCUCAAGGUUCCACCUCUGGUCCAAUAUCGUUUGCAAGCUUUGCAAAAGUGCCUGGGCUGGGAUAAGCUGUAGUUAUUGUAGUAACAGAACUUGGUGUUAGAGGAGUCGCAGCGAGGACACUUAAAAGCUUGCUGUGGCUGCUGGUGUUGGUGUUGUUGUUGUGAUAGUUCUUGGCCCCGUUUCUCCAUUAGUUUACUUAUCGAUGGCAUCAAGGCUUUCUCAUCUAUCUGAUUCUGCGGCAAAGAGGAAAAGAGGAAAGGAAAAAGAAAAGAAAAGAAAAGAAGAGUUUCAAGGUGGCGUUUUUACGGUAAAAAUAACAACACAAGUUAGAUAUUCUCUUCCAAAAGC
rnacentral:misc_RNA from 1 species